AUGGCUCCCAGUCGCCGGACGGUUGCCGAGCGGACGGGGAUGGAGCCGCCAGUUUCUGUUCGUCGGGGAUCGCAAUCCACAUGAAGGCCGUCGCAGUUAUCCCAAAAGCUCGAGCGAGUGCAAACCAAAAUGUCGCUGGAAUCUUCACGUCCCCCCCUCAGGUGAUCCUUGCCUUCCCUCGAGCGGUGGAGCCGCUUCGUCCCUUCGCACGCGGUGCUGCGCGGUUUGGCGAUUUAGGGGUUGGAUUUAGUGUGCAAUUUUCACCUGUCAUUGCGAAUAUUACAAGCUUCUCACAGAGUACAAUGAUCUGUGUUUUUGAGAUUUUUAUCCAAGUGAUCAGAAUGCCGAGUCCUCAACCUGAAUACAAGAAGUCAGAAUGACACGAAACUGCAGAUUUUAUCGAUAAUAAUAGGUUGUACUGCUGUCCGUAAUAUCUUUUGACAGAAUUUAAACAUGGCAAUCCAGUUACUGUUUGUGAUGCAUUAUUUCUGAUGCCCAUAGCCUUACCUGUGCUCGAUUCAACAAUUUGAAAUACAAAAUCAGGGUGUAUGCCUUGCCAUUUGCAGAAGCUUGAUUGAGAUAAGCUGAUUACACUCUGCAAUUUUCCUUGAUCAACCAUGCUUUGCUAGUGCCUAUAUGUGAGUAAGUGACCAUACUGUGCUAAUGCCAACACUUGUUUUCGAGGCACGAUAAUGCUUUACCAAUUACCAAUAGAGACAUGUUCAUAACUUCAUAUUCGACGUGUGAAAUUUCGUCGUGCCACUUUUUACUUUGCCUGAUUUGGAUGCGAGCAAUCCGAGUACUACACUAGUUAUGUUUGUUGUGUUUGCUGGCUUAGUAUCCAAAUUAAAAGUUAAGAAUUAAGACAAGCUUUGGCUAUCCGUGGAGUAGCCAUUACUUGGAAGAUUUGUGUGUCUUGAGUCUUGACUCAAGGUGGUAUUGUACAGUUGUAAGUUCCACAUUCAGAAUUUCUGUUUCAGUCUAAUGCUCUGCAAAGUAAUACUAUCACAGAGUUUACUGGUAUGCAGAGGAGUCGUCCAAUCAUUUAUAUUGUGGGGAAGAGGGUGCUCCAAUCUCUAAAACGUUAGAACCACACAGUGAUACUACUGAUCUCCCUUCUACAGGUGUUGAUGGUAUCGAACAAUUAGGGCUUCGAGUCGGAGUCAUUGACCCAAGUGGAGUUCCCGUCCUUGAAGGUUCCUGACUAGGUAUCGGAGUCAUCUCUGUGCCAACAUCUCUCACAGACACUGACUGAACUGUUGAAAUAGCUGCACAUAACAAUUCACACAACUUUAAGAAUGUUUUGAAAACAAAUGUUUAGCUUCAAUAUUCUAUAAUUGCUUCAUGUUACAAUCUUCUGGCUAAUAUAGAUGAAAAAGUAACCUUUUUUUCGAGAAUGUGAAAAAGUUACCUUUUGGAUCGUUGCAGGGCUUCACUUCUAUUUCUGAACCACUAUCAGUUGCCUUGCGAUACUCGGGGAUAGCACUAGAACUACUAACUGGACAUGCAUGCCUAACCAACUUUGGCUGAUACGAAGCAAAAGAUAACCUCUCUAAUAUGCUGCGUGGAGCAGACAAAGCUGGAUUCACUCUCUUCAUUUUCUGCACAGGGCGACCAGAAAUUUUGGGCACAAUGACACCCCUGGCUGCAGCAGAAUUCAUCUGGUUUACAGUCUGAUUCUGUGCCGUGCCUUUGGAGAUGUUAUAGUUAACAUUCUGCCGGUUCACGAUCCAUUUCUCAGCGUCAUUCCACUUCGAGGAAGCCUGUCUAGAGAAAUACCCCACUGCUGGAUUCUGCGUUGCCGUCUUCUCACCUCCAUGGAACUCAAAGCUACUAGUGCUAGCAUUGUCAAGCCCACUAUCACAUUCAGUACUGUCUUCUUCCACAGAUUUCACUGGAUGUAUCAUGCUCGAGUUGCUUGUUGCUGGUUGGGGAACUGAACUCUUGGAAGUGUUCUGAAUCUUAUUGACAUCUAAUGCGGAAUCAUUUCCUACUGCUUCAGUUUUGUUAAUUGCUGAAGGGUGUUUGGUGCCAUCUGAGUUGUCUGAAACUGUUGCAGAACAAGAAUGAUGUGUUAUUGACUUAUCCAAGAAAAAGGGUGAUGUUCGCGAUGAUGAGUUGCUGGUGAUAACUCUUACUCGAUUGUGGGCCCCCAUAAUCUUCAUCCUUAGCUUUGUUGGAGAAAGGGCACCAGCCUGCAGGAACCUUAAGGCUGGUGGGUGUGAGCGGCCAGCGAGGAAGGGAGGGUGAGUACUGAAGAGUGAGAAGAAGGAGAACACCAGUCGCCACUCACCAGAGGUCCAGAGCGGAAGGACUGGGAUAGCUGUGAUCUAAACAAGGCGAUGUCACGUCUCGUGUUUUUUAGUCCUUCAGAGCUACUAGACUACUACUAGACAGGAGCCCACAGGUUCUGGUCCCGUUACAAUUGUUCGUUAACGUCAAUGACUGCAGCUACUACCUUGAGCCCAUGAAUCUGCAGAAACAGUCUUGGAGUGAUCAGCAAGAUCCAAUAAUGCACACAACAGCAACUUCAGCAUUGUCUGUCUGAUCAGCAGCUCAUAAUACUCCUGAAUUGCGCAGUGGCAAUCAAUCUUAACCUUGGAACGGACCACAAAUGAUUGUUUGGUGCACAAAUCCAUGGCACUGGGGAAAGACUGUCUCGAGCCCACAGUCCUCGAGGCGAAAGUGGCCGGCACACUUCGCCAGCAAGUAGUGCCUAGACUGGUAACCACACUGUGUGAGCCAGUUUAGGAGCACUCCAAUGGCAAGAGACCGUUAGAACAAUCAGACAGAGGAGGGCUCUCGUUCUGAGGAAUUCCCCUCUGAGGCUCUGACCAGUACCUAUGGCAUUAGUUGCCUGGAAAGAAUCUUGUUGUAGGACACAACAGUGUCUUGAUCAAAGCACAAUUUUUUGGCUGACACUGGCAACAUGGGCCCAAGCAUGCACCAAUCAUGGGAUUCCUUUUGGACAGUAUAGCUGAUUGCAAAUUUGCAAUGGAGCAGACGCCUGAAGCUGGAUUCCAAAUAAUGCACGAGUCUCAACAACCUUUGCUCUCGCCAGUGCUGCCACUUGUUGUUUCCAAACAUAUGAGGGAGAAAAUGCGAAGCAAAAUGGAGUUUAAUUGUGAACAGACCUGUGUGAUGUUUACAUGAGGAGAAAUAUUACAGUUCUUUUAAACAAAUUAAACAUUACACAUAUAAUACCCAAGCGCUGGCCAGAGUGCUGUUCCCCUCUCGGA